UACGUGAGCCCCGAGCGUUAUCCGGAUUUAUUGGGCGUAAAGCGUCUGCAGGUGGUUUGAUAAGUUUCUCGUCAAAUCUGGGGGCUCAACCUCCGGGCUGCGGGAAAAACUAUCAAACUUGAGGGUGGAAGAGGUAGAUGGAAUUGCCGGUGUAGCGGUAAAAUGCGUUAAUAUCGGCAAGAACACCAAAUGCGAAAGCUUUCUACUGGUACACUCCUGACACUCAGAGACGAAAGCGUGGGUAGCGAAU
rnacentral:rRNA from 1 species